AGGAAAUGGUAGCCCAGAUGGAGUCGGCUUUACUAUCUCCAAAGCCAUCUGAAGAUGAGUUUGUGCCUUUUUUUUUAAAUGAUGGAUUUGGUGCAGCUGGAUUUUCUGAAGUUUGAGGAACAAUGCCUUAAGUAAAAAAUAAAAACAAAACAAAAAACAAAAAAAACCACAGCAGUUCGUGAAUAUUUUUCCUCUGUUUGGGAAAGCCAAGAACUGCCAUCAGGAAGGAAGACUUUUUGGCUUGUGCUGGCAUGAUUAUGGGAAGCAGGCAUCAGCUGAAUAGAGCGUCUCCAAAAACUGUCUACAAGUUUGGAUUUGUUUUGUUUUCUUUCAUUGCUGUUUCAAAAAAAAAAAAAAAUUAAGGUAGUUGCCAAGAAAGUGGCAAAUACUGUUGGGUCUUUGAAAUUUAACCAUUUUUUAAAUCGAAUUUUCAAAUGUUUUCUCUCUUCUACAUUAUCUAGCAAUUGAAUUUAUCAAUUUGGUUGUUGAAGCAUGUAUUAGACACAAUUGCAGGUUUAAGACUGGAAUGCUUUUUAUAAAAAGCAACUCGCAUGAGAUAUUGCUUAAAUUGUUAGGUAUAAAUAUAUAUAUGUGUAUAAUGUAUAUUCCAAAUGUAUUCCAAGCUUAGAAACCGGAUUCUUAUGAAUUAUUGAUAAAAUAUUUAUAAUGCAUUUAUAGAAAAAUAUAUAUAAUAAAUGCAUACUAUAAUAGUAGCCAUUGAAAGCUCCAAAAAAAAGAUUUGUGAAUUGGAAUGUAAAGGUGCUUUUGGAAAAGGAUCCAGUUUGAAACUUGAGUACUUUCAAACUAUAAUUUGGAAAGUUUUCAGAACGCCAACACGUUAGCCACCGGGCAACUACCCUAAACAUUUGUAUUUUAAGUUAAGGUUUUUAGUUGUGAUCCUUUUCUAACAAAAAUAAGUUUUUUAUAGCAAAGAUUAUGAAUUUGCUGUUAAUUUUUAUAUCAAUAUUUCACAAAACCCUACAGAAGCCUUGUUUGUGUGAAUCUGACGUUUAUUUUCCAUUUGGCAGUUGUUUUUAUUUUUUAUUUUUCUGAACGGCAACGGUGUCUAAACCUUUUUCCUUCCUUAUUUCUUUCUUGUACAUUAUUUUCCUUUUUUUUAAAAAAAAAAAAGUCUUUUGUACAGUGAGCAGCUUUCUGCAGGCGUAAGGAAUUGUUGCAGAUCGUCAGAGUUUAUUUUUGGAAAGCGUGCAUUUAAUGAAGAGGAGGGAAUGCAAUGGGCUCUUUUGUAUAAUGAUACCAACGACUGUAUAUUUCCUCAGUUCUGUUAUAGUAGCUAUGUAAAGAAAAUAAGGAGUUUUCUUACCUUACACAUAGUAGUAUUACAAUGGGUGAUGUAUUUAUCCUCCAUGUGGAUUGUAGUGAGGAUUACAUACGGCUUUAGUAGCUACCAUAUGGAAGGCUUGUCAGACACUCUUGGGACAACUGGCAUUUUCUCUCUCGCGCACACAAAUACGCACUCACACUCACACUCGCACUCACACACACACACACACACACACGCACUGCCUCUCUCCUCUUCUUUCCGAAUGACCGUGACUGGGAGAAUUGCAACGUUAGCUAUUUGAAGAACUUUUUCCUAAAUUAUUUUUCAGAGGAAGGUGUUGCUGGUCGAGCAAGUUUAAGCUUCAGCCUUGGCUGGAUUUCCCUGUCGCCUUUUACAAAUGGCCCGGUGGAGAAGCAGCUAGUUCCUGGGUUGAAGAGUUAAACAGCUUAAAGGAGACCAAAUUGACACCUGUUACCUUCUCAAAGCAGUGUAGGGUAGCGCAGAUCCCUCAUCCGAACAACCAAGGGUAUAUUAUUAUGACAACUGACAGGGUCGUUUUAUAGUAACUUAUUUUCCAGUUCUUGAAGUGGCUAUUUUCAUUCCAUUGAGAACCUACUCGUGGAAAGAAUUUGAGGCAUACCAUCCAUGUGAGCAAAUGCAAGAGGGUUUUGUUUUGUUUUCAGGUUUGUAAUGCAAUUUGAAAAACAGACACUACUGUAUUUGAGUUUUGCUAACCCAAGUACAUUUUAAAAUUAUGAAGAGCUUUGGUCAUUGGAGCCGUCUUCAGUGUAUUCUAAAAACAGUGCUCACGUGUGAAAGCACAGCAUACCUGCAGAUGUUCUUUCUUAAAAUGACCACUUUGCUGCUGUGAUCUCCAAUUAAUCUGCGGAAUUUGGUGACUUGAUGUUCAGAAUGGUCACUUAGCCUUUUAUAAGGUGUCGGCGGUAAACCACGUUUACAUGAUCGCUUCUGUUGUCAGACCUUCCUAGCAGUUUUCUACUUUUAGUAUCAGUUGUGGAAAGAUCUUUUUUUUUUCUUUUCUCGUGUUCCUGAGAAUUGCUGACUGACUGUGCUGACUUGGUUUCUUUUAAGGUUAGGUGACUGUCGCAAGCCUCAGCUGCUCAGUAGCUUUCCGGCUUGUUGCUUCAGGAUGCCCCGUUCAUUUCUUGAAAUCGGUUUGCUAAGCUUUUUGCUGGAGGUAGAAAGAUUUCCCAAGACACGAAAGCUUGUCUCCUCCCGAGUCCAGAUCAUGUGAAUUUGUUCCUCAGAUACGCCCGCUCCGUGGCUCAGGUCUGGAUGAUCUAGGAGCCCGUGCAGACAGAAAGCAAAACGGGCCUCUCGUUUUUGGGGAUUGCCAGGGUUUGUACGUUUUGGGUUUUGGGGUUUUUUUUUUGCGUUUCCUCUUUUUUUUAAUUUUUCUCCCCCACCUUUUGAGCCAUGAACUUCUCCCUUCAGCCAGAGGGCCGGGGUGAGGGUGACGUGGGCUGGGGGGACGUUUUUCCCCUGCUUGGAAGGGAACGAACAGCUUGAAAUCGUCUGAUUGAUAAGGAAGCGAGUCCCAGUUUGCAGUGUGCGAUUAAUCAUUUGUGGGUUUUUUUUGGGGGGGAGGCGGGUUGAUUUUUUUUUGGUUUGUUUUUUUUUUUACUUUUCGAUACAAAACAUUCCUUUUUUAUUAGUCGCAGUCAUGUAUUCAUUCCAUUCUUCCUUUUGUAAACUUUUUGGGCCCACGUCUUUUAUGGGCAUUGAUAUAUAUAAAUAUAUAUAUAAAUAUAUAUGAAUAUAUUUUUUUAAGUUUCCUACACCUUGAGGUUGCAUGGUCUGUAAGGCUGGCAUGUCUUUAUAUUGUAUACAGAUUUUGCACGCCAAACUUGGCAGCUUUGAAAAAGAAAAAAAAAAACACAAUUUUUUUUUUUUUUUCCUCUCGUGGCAUUUGCGGAGACAAAGGUUGGGACAUUUUUCGGUCACAAACACACACACUCACACAAAUACACACAAAGGAAGAAGAGCGGGAAAUUUUUUUGCGUCUUACUGAACUUAAUAAGAAAUUGUGCUUUUUAUUGUAAAAAAAAAAGAAUAAAUAAAAAGGACUACUUAAACAUUUCUCAUUUUAAGAAGAAAGAGACGUUUAUCUAGCACUUGUGACUUACCAAUAAUAGAGUUUAUUGUAUUUAUGUGGAAACAGUGUUUUUAAGGAAACUACGCAGAACACACAAAGUAAACUGCCUGUGUCUUUCUUUUUCUUUUUUUUUAAUUUGGUUGGGUAUUUUAAUUUCUUCACAGGGUGGGGAGGUUGGACACAACCCUUUGUCAACACACGUGGUCAUUAAUUCUGAGAAGAUGACUGACGACGACUUUAAAGAGUUAACUCUUCAGCACAGCUGUGUUAACUUUUUUAAAAUUACUUUUACAUGAUGUAUUGGUAGGUUUCACUUUAAACAGUCCUGUACUGUGCAACACUGUGGUUUAAAACAAGACUUUACAUCAAAAGGAAAACAUGUUUCUUCAUUGUCAUGAAGUUGAGCUCGUUCUCAGCUCAUCUUCACUUUGUCUUUGAUAUUGAUGAAAAAGUAUCCUAUUGAAAGAAAAUAAAUUAACACUUUUCUGUGCUCCAUAGUGGAGGCGCUAUUUUCCAAUUUAUGAGGAUGACAAACUUAUAUAUAUAAUAUAUAUAUAAAAGUGGGGGGAGGGGUUGAAACAUUAUUCACCCAAGAGCUUAUUACAGAUAUGUAGUAUCAAAAAGUUGUAACUAUAUUAUAUUCUACUUUAUACCUAUACAUGCUCAGUAUGACAUCACCAUUGGUAGCAGCUACCGGUUUACGAUGUAAUUUAGACACAGUUUCACUCUUAUUGUAUGGACCCUACUUUAAGUGAUGGUAGCAUUCUUUGUGCUAAAUUUUCUGAUGGUCCUUUCUUUUACUUGGUGGAGUUGGAAUUUUUUUUCAUUCUUGUUUUUUGUUUGUUUUUGUUUUGUUUUUUCUUUUUCCCUUUUUUUUGUUUUUUGUUUUUUUAACUGGCCAAUGGUGUCUUUUCUCUGACAGUACCGACUUCAAUUUCAACUUUAUUAGGAGUCCAGUAUUUUGUACCACAUUAUGACAACUUGUUAUUCUUGUGGUGUAAAUAAAAAGAAAAAGUUAAUUAUAGUACCAUCUUUGUUUCUGUCACUGAUCUUUCUAUCUGAUGCCUCUGGUUUAAUUGCUCAGAGCUUGCUUGCCCAGACAGCACUGUCAGUGUAA